rnacentral:lncRNA from 1 species
UCCAGCUUCUUUAGUUUUAAUUGCAGUCGUUUAUUCUAAGAAUUUAUGUUUUCUAUUGAUCUGUAUGUGUUUGCAUCUGUUUUACCCUCUCCUUGUUAUGAAUUUUGUAUUAUUCAAGGAGAUAUAACUGAUGCAUAAAGCUAAUUAAGGAUGGCUUACCAACGCAUUGCAUUUUUACUGAUUGCUUUAGUGUCAAAUGGUCCUUCCUAAAUUAUAAAUCUGUAUAAUAUAUUUUCAGUUUUUAUAAUAUUUUUUGUAGUUGAAUUGUAUUGUAUUGGCAGAUGACGAUAAAUCAGUUUAUGCUUAACACUCUGAUUUAACCGUGGUGAUUAUAAACUCCGCUUAUUAUCUGAUGCCUAUUUUUAAGUUUGUUAUUUUUUAUUUUGGCCAAUUUCAGAAAGAUUAUUUUCCAAUUUGCCUUUAACUAUCUCUCAAUUGUUUUCUGAUGCUUCCCUGUAACAUAUAUUUUUACAGAAAUAUUCUGUUUUUCGAUGAUGAAAUUUAGCAGACGGGCGGUCUGAAAUGAUGCCAUGUUGAUUGUCUGCCUAAUAUCCAUUUAAUGGAUUAAUUUCUGAGAUUAAGUGUUUUGACCAACAUUUUUUUGUUUUCAAAUUUGGUUUUGGUAUGCGAUGAUGAGUAUGCAAUUAUAUGUCUGGACUUAUGAGACAUUGUCUAUGAAAUAAUAAGCAUUCUUCUGAGCUGAUUUAUUUAUCGAUGUUAAAAAAAUACUAAAUAGUUCAUAGACACUUGCAAGGGUAUCAACGCCGUCAUCAUCAUGAUUGUACAGAUGCACCCACAUAUCCAAUAGAGAACUAGCUUUGAUAUGUUGAUCUUCUAAGAAUAUCCCGAAGUCCAAGAAGCAUUGUUUGAGUUUCUCGUCUAAUACGUCAUAGCUUCUCUCAAGGCGCACAAGAACUUCGUUGUUUAAAUCCAAAACUGAAUGACCUUGACUCAAUGUGUUAAGCAUCGAUUUCCAUGACACCUCAUUUUUCCCAUUAGGGAGCCGCCAACUACAGAAAGCGUAAGCGGGUGUUUCUUACAGCAUUUAACCAUCUACAAAAAAGUUUACAAACACAAAUUAGUCCACCAGAGUAACAAUAUCUAUAAAAAUCAUAUAUUCAGUUGUAAAACAUUUUGUUAUGCUACCUGAUCCACAAGAGUCUCAUCAAUAGUAGGAAUAGGUGUUGCAGAGUUGCGAAAGAUAAUCUUAGCAUUUUCGUCACUCAAAGGGUCGAAUUUGAACACGUCAUAUCUCUUAAAGCUCGUCCUAGAAGUGACCAGAGUUUGUAGACCUUCGAUAUCAAAUGCAAAGUUUCUGACAUAAGACUCACACCAAACGUCAUCCAACACUAGAAGUAUAGGUCACUUAAUUUGCUGAUCAAAGUGAAGUGGAUUCAGAAGGUCAUUAACACUUGCUAUGAAAUCAGGAGUUUCUGAAGCUGUCACAAAGAAAAUAUUGGCACCAAAAUUGUCUGUCGAAAAAAAUGAGAGAUGUUAGCCAAUACCAUAUGAUUAUUAGAAUGUAACGAAGGGGUAUGACCACCUCGUUAGUACCGCUUCACAGGCUAUAUAUAUGCCCGAAAUUGUAAAGAAAUGUGGAUCAAUUUCAUUAUUAUAAGACUUUUGCUGGCAGACAAGAUUC